rnacentral:sRNA from 1 species
UUCUAACCCUGAUUGCAGCGAAAAUCUCCCGAUUUUUUUCGGGAAUUGAAGCGGAAAGCAGGAAUUACA